rnacentral:ncRNA from 1 species
CAUGUUGGAAACAAUAUGGUAAUAAAUUUAGUGAACUCAUGGAAGGCUAAGUUAAUAUAAAUUAAUAUGCUAAUCAUGAGCCAAGCUUGUGAAAGUCAAUAAAAGUAACAAGAAGGUGCAGAGACUAGGAAUUGAGGUAUGACAGCCAAUACAUUCCCAAGAGUGCUAAAGACGAUUAUUUAUAGAAUAAUCUGAGAACCUAACGUUAAACGAGGGUUAAGAUAUAGUCCAACCUCUUAUGAAAAUAAG